CUAACAUAGGAGGAAUAAACGGUAUUUUGCUUACAUUGUUUUCAAUAACAAUGUACAGAAGACUAGCAGAAAAUUACAAACUUGGAGCAGUCUGAGCCUCAGUUUUGGCGUUUUCAUGAGUCUUAAUUACGAAUGAAAUUCAGCACUUUGAAGCCAAACUCGGAAAGAAACAGAAACAGAAUUGGAUGAGCUGAUAUAGAAUUAGACAGGAAAAACAUAUUAUGAGAAUACAUUAUUACAGUACAGACCAUUGAUGCUGGAAGUGAGUGGAUAGUGUUACCGGAGACUCAGGGAUCCAGAAAAUAGAUCCAUAAAUUGUACAGUGUAUUCAUGAAAGUGGAUCAAAUAAAAAUGUUUAAUC